UUUAAUGAUGAAGCUACUGUAUCCCAUAUACAUAUCGACUAGCCAACUGGCAAUGUUGUCGUUAAUUACACCAUCUUUCGGCUGACA
rnacentral:snoRNA from 1 species